CCUCCGAACUUGAAACUGAAGGUAAAGUCUUUCGGCAAAACGCAUGGCUAAGAAGUAAUCAAAGGCAAUUCAAGCCAAACUUGGAGCAGCCCUCUAAUAUGCCUGCGUGCUGACUGAAGGAGUUGACUUACACCACAUCAUCUCACAAGCCAGUCUUCCUACAGAAAUCUGUUGCUGAGAUUCGUCAGACAUGGCAUUGUUGCAUACCUAUCACCCAGAAGAAAAGACAAAGCUUCUAUCUAUACCAUCCAGUGGCAAUUGUGGAGUCCACAGGGUACUCAGGCUUGGAUGCUAGAAAUAGCUGCAUCAGUACUUCCAAAACAAACCACAUAGUGUUAGUAAUGACCACAUCUUGAAUCAGAAUAUGAAUUCUACAAAAUGGACUUAACAGAAGCUAUUUAGGCUUCUUGCAAAAUGGAGUGAGUUGACAUGGAACAAAAAGACAUGGAGAUAAUUUGGAAAAGGUGGUUGUUUUCAACAGCCCCAAGUUACAAAGAUCCAAAACUUGAUGGAAAUACCUUCACAUGUACUUCUUUGUUGACUAAUUAAGUUGUUUAUCAUAAAUCAUCCAUGGAAAAAGUGAAUUGAAUCAACAUGUUAUUGAAAUGUAAACAACAUCCUGAAUUUCUAUUUCUAGACUUCCAGGUUCUAUAAAAGAUCUACUAGAAUUUGUUUUUUCUCCCAACUUUUGAUAAAUUGCUUGAGAAGACAAACUCAGAUGGUUGGAAGCCUCAGCUAUAGACACAGGUGAGAUAAUCUGGAGACAUCUGUGGCAAAUUGGAGGGGGUAACUUCUGUGCUACUUCUGCAGAGGGCUAUCAGUAGGCGACAUCGGCCAGUGUUUCUAGCACACCCACAUU